GAUGAACGCUGGCGGCAUGCCUAACACAUGCAAGUCGAACGGGAAGUGGUGUUUCCCGUGGCGAACGGGUGAGUAACGCGUAAGAACCUGCCCUUGGGAGGGGAACAACAACUGGAAACGGUUGCUAAUACGCCGUAGGCUGAGGAGCAAAAGGAGAAAUCCGCCCAAGGGGGGGCUGGCGUCUGAUUAGCUAGUUGGGGAGGUAAUAGCUUACCAAGGCGAUGAUCAGAAGCCGGUCCGAGAGGAUGAUCGGCCACACUGCUACUGAGACAAGGCGCAGAGUACUACGGGAGACGGCGGUAGGCCUUAUUCCGCAAUGCGCGGAAGCCUGACAGAGCCAUGCCGCGUGGAAGUGGAAGGAGUACGGGUCGACAGCUUCUUUUUUCGGCGAAGAAACAAUGACGGUAUCUGAAGAAUAAGCACCGGCUAACUCCGUG
rnacentral:rRNA from 1 species